rnacentral:ncRNA from 1 species
AAACCAGGGGUGCUUGUUCUAUUGAACCGGCUGAGAUGGCAAUAUCGCCGAACCCUUUUAACCUGUAUCUAGACAAUACUAGCGUAGGGAGCGUCUGAUA